AGAGUUUGAUUCUGGCUCAGAACGAACGCUGGCGGCGCGUCUUAAACAUGCAAGUCGAACGAGAAGCUCAUUGCUUGCAUUGAGUGGAAAGUGGCGACCUGGUGAGUAACACGUGGGUAAUUUGCCUUUAGGUUGGGGACAACUAUCCGAAAGGAUAGCUAAUACCGAAUAACAAGUUGGUACAUAAGUACUGUACUUUAAAGGAGGGGCUCUUUUAGACCUUUCGCCUGAAGAUAAGCCCGCGUCCUAUUAGCUUGUUGGUGGGGUAAUGGCCUACCAAGGCAACGAUAGGUAGCCGGCUUGAGAGAGUGAACGGCCACAUUGGGACUGAAAUACGGCCCAGACUCCUACGGGAGGCAGCAGUUAAGAAUAUUGGACAAUGGACGAAAGUCUGAUCCAGCGACGCCGCGUGAACGAUGAAGGCCUUCGGGUCGUAAAGUUCAAUAAGCAGGGAAGAAUAAGUUAGUGUUAAUACCGCUAACGAUGACGGUACCUGCCUAAAGUCACGGCUAAAUACGUGCCAGCAGCCGCGGUAAUACGUAUGUGGCAAGCGUUGUUCGGAAUUAUUGGGCGUAAAGGGCAUCUAGGCGGGAUGGAUAGUAAGGUGUGAAAACUAUAGGCUCAACCUGUAGCUUGCACUUUAAACUUCCAUUCUUGAGUUAGGGAGAGGGAAGCGGAAUUCCAGGUGUAGCGGUGAAAUGCGUAGAUAUCUGGAAGAACACCGGUGGCGAAGGCGGCUUUCUGGCCUAUAACUGACGCUGAAGUGCGAAAGCGUGGGGAGCGAACGGGAUUAGAUACCCCGGUAGUCCACGCCGUAAACGUUGUAUACUAGGUGUUAGUACGUCAAGUACUAGUGCCGCCGCUAACGCAUUAAGUAUACCGCCUGGGGAGUACGUCCGCAAGGAUGAAACUCAAAGAAAUUGACGGGGGCCCGCACAAGCGGUGGAGCAUGUGGUUUAAUUCGAUGAUACGCGAAGAACCUUACCAGGGCUUGAACUGUGCAAGACAGGUGCAGAGAUGCAUUUUCUCUUCGGAGCUUGUACAGAGGUGCUGCAUGGUUGUCGUCAGCUCGUGUCGUGAGAUGUUGGGUUAAGUCCCGCAACGAGCGCAACCCUCACUGUCUGUUGCUACCAGGUUAUGCUGGGCACUCUGAUGGAACUACCGGUGAUAAACCGGAGGAAGGUGAGGACGACGUCAAAUCAUCACGGCCCUUAUGUCCUGGGCUACACACGUGCUACAAUGGCCGGUACAAAGGGUUGCGAAACCGCGAGGUGAAGCUAAUCUCAAAAAACCGGUCUCAGUUCGGAUUGGAGUCUGCAACUCGACUCCAUGAAGCUGGAAUCGCUAGUAAUCGCAGGUCAGCAUACUGCGGUGAAUACGUUCCCGGGCCUUGUACACACCGCCCGUCACACCACCCGAGUUGACAGCACCCGAAGUGGCUGGUCUAACUUUUUAAGAGGAAGGUUACUAAGGUGAAGUCGGUAAGGGGGGUGAAGUCGGAACAAGGUA
rnacentral:rRNA from 1 species